GACGAACGCUGGCGGCGUGCCUAAUACAUGCAAGUUGAGCGCUGAAGGUUGGUACUUGUACCAACUGGAUGAGCAGCGAACGGGUGAGUAACGCGUGGGGAAUCUGCCUUUGAGCGGGGGACAACAUUUGGAAACGAAUGCUAAUACCGCAUAAAAACUUUAAACACAAGUUUUAAGUUUGAAAGAUGCAAUUGCAUCACUCAAAGAUGAUCCCGCGUUGUAUUAGCUAGUUGGGGAGGUAAAGGCUCACCAAGGCGAUGAUACAUAGCCGACCUGAGAGGGUGAACGGCCAACAUGGGACCGGAACAAGGCCCAAACCCCUUAGGGAGGCAGCAGGAGGGAAACUUCGGCAAUGGACGAAAGUCUGACCGAGCAACGCCGCGGGAGUGAAGAAGGUUUUCGGAUCGUAAAACUCUGUUGGUAGAGAAGAACGUUGGUGAGAGUGGAAAGCUCAUCAAGUGACGGUAACUACCCAGAAAGGGACGGCUAACUACGUG
rnacentral:rRNA from 1 species